GAUGAACGCUAGCGGCAGGCCUAAUACAUGCAAGCCGAACGGUAAUUCUGAUAGCAAUAUUGGAACUAGAGUGGCGUAAGGGUGCGUAACACGUAUGCAAUCUACCCGCAACAGGAGGAUAGCUCCCCGAAAGGGGAAUUAACCCUCCAUGAGAUCACACGAGGGCAUCCGAGAGUGAUUAAAUUUGAGGAGGUUGUGGAUGAGCAUGCGACUGAUAGCUAGUUGGCAGUGUAACGGACUACCAAGGCGAUGAUCAGUAGGGGAACUGAGAGGUUGACUCCCCCACACUGG
rnacentral:rRNA from 1 species